ensembl:lncRNA
UUUUUUUUUUUUUUUUUUUUUUUUUUUUUUUGAGUUGACAUUGGAAGUGCUGAAAGCCUGCAAGCUGGUAAAGAAACAUCAUUAAACACUACCUCACACAAGAGUAAAGAAAAGCAUCCAAUUUUCAUGUGGAAACUUUAGCAUCUUUGGAUUAAAGUGGGAACACGAAUAAAGAUGCAUAGGACUUAAAUCUCAAAGUAGGAAACUUAUUUCUAUACUGUGCCCUGCCAGUGAACUGUUAGAGGAUGCUAGGUCUUGCUGAGUCUAAACAAAAACAAAUAAAACUUAGAAACAAACAGUUGAAAUCAUUGGACAUGAGUAUUUGGAUGGAAGUUAGGCUGUCUGAACAUGGAUCCAAAUUUUCUGGAAGAGUGAAAGUCUUUUUUAUGCAUUACUAUUAUGCUGAAUAUAUUGAGAUCCCCAUCUCAGCUGAAGCCUGCAAUUGCUGCUGUAGAAAAAGGAACAAAAAGAAAGGAGAGAGAGGAGAAGGUCAACACACAAGAGGGGUAAAAUAGCCUGGCUUCAGGGGCUGAUAUCAGCUAUGAAUCUGAUAAUCUGACCCACCAAGUUUUAUCUUUUCAUCACAUAUUAAAGGAAUAGAUUACACUAAAAAAAACAACAAAACAAAACAAAACAUUGCAACCCCAAAACCAGGAAGACAAGAUACACUAGCAAUAGUCUGGCAAGACUUUCCUCUUCAUUGAAGCAUCUGGAGUUCACAUAAUGACUGGAAGAUACAUGAGACUCAGUAGUAUUUAGACAGUUAAAAAUGUAAUCUGGGCAGCUUCUAAGAGGAAGGGCACUGCAGAGUAAUAGCAUCAGGUCUGGGAGGAGUCCAAGUCAUAUUUUGAAUCCUGAACAAAUACUGGAGCAUAAAGAAGUCUGUGAAUAUGAUGCAUGUAAACACAAGUCAGGAGGGUACCAAGCAGCAGCUGCCAGCACACUUUCUCCAAAAGGGAAUUAUAUACCUCAAUUAAAUGCCCUGUGGUAGCAGUCUGGUGCCCCCUCUGCUCCAGCUGAGAGCAGAUGUUCAGAGGCCUGCAAGGAGUGCUGUGUUUUAACAGAGUUGUGAGAAAAUCUCACAGAAGAAUAAGAAAAAAGUUUCACACUUGCCAGCUUUGUGAUGGUAGACUGCUAGAUUUCAGGGUGGCUAGCAGCCCGGGCUACCAGAUGUUCAAAAAUCCCAGACAAAAGACCAUGGUGCCAGCAAAGAAAGGCUCUCCUGCACACCAAGGACAAAGCUGCUGUGCCUUGCUCAGUCCAGGCUUGUCUGCAGUCCAGGAGGCUUGUCACGUAUGUGCACAUCUACUGAGCGUCCAAGAUGUGUCCAGACAUGAGACUUGUAAAACCUACUGCCUGUGGACCUGCCAGUUCUGACAGGUCUGAGUCUGGAAGCUGCACACAGAGUGAAAGGCUCCUCUGUGCUCCUAGAGGCAGGAGGUGGCACAUCCAAACUUUAAGUCUCAAACCUUCCAUGACAUCUCCUUAACAAAAUUCAUAAAACACCAAUGUUUUCCCUUCAAUCAAUUUUAUCACCUUAAAUAAAAACCACUCCACAUCCUGUCAUGAAAACAUGGUGUCAGUGUAUUUUCCAUACGACUUUUCUCCCCUUCUCCUUGGUUUCUUCUCGCAUUAUCCAAUUUCCUACUUCUGGCUCAAAGAAUUCACCAAACUAAAUUUAAUAGGUAUGUUUACUAUUUUUUUUUUUUUUUGUUGGCCUCAGUGUUUCACUCUACACUUUUACUUGUAAGAAUUUAACUUGUAUUUUGCUGUCUCUUAGCAAACCAUAUUUCCAGCUUUUGAAGCAUUUCUGCCCAACGGCUCAGGCACCCUGCACACCCUUGCUAUUAAGAACACCAGUGAAUCCUUUCACAUCUUCCUCCUUGCAAGGUUAGACGUGGUUUCUGGGGGUCUCUUAUCCCACACAGGAAUUGCUUCCACACUAUAUACAAGGAUCAAUUGAUAUUCUUGCUUCUAAUUAGUGUAAGAUUUCUUUGUACCUUCUAGGCCAUUCUCUCUUACACAGCCUAGCAUCCUGAUUAAUUUUGGCAUAUGCUGCUCCCCUUGUCAAACCCAAUUAUACUGUAGCCCCUGUUACUUAGGGGUUUGACAGCAGUUCAUAAAGCAAUUUUUAUUUGGGAUGAGAUUAGACUCUCUUGCUCUAGUUUGGAGAUGGUGAUUGCUUCCCUGCAGCUGCUUUCUCUGCAUUUUUUCCCCUUAUUUUUCUGGCAACAUAUUGGUGCAUGGAGUUAUUGGAUUUCAGGCUGAAGUGGAAAGGAGUAUUUGGACUCAUUCUCCAGCCAUCCCAAGGGUGUGCUCUAAGUAUGUGAUCCUAGACAGGGAGGCUGGGAAAAUAGGAUAUCACCAAAGAAACCAUUCUUGUCCUUAGAAAAUUGCACUAGUGUUCACGACUUGCCCUAAAGAUCUGCAGCUUUUCCUCUUUAACUGGGAAAAAAAAAAAAAAAAAAAAAAAGAAAAAAAGAAAAAAAAAGAAAGAAAGAAAGAAAGAAAAGAUUGUAGAGGCUUAUUUAGCUGAGCCAGGCUCAGAAAGUGCCUAUAUCUAUAAUUUUAUACUUUCAGUGUGAGAUCCAGGUGCAAUUAUAGUGUGGCUACAAUUUGCUUUCUCUGUGGGCCUCUUUAAAGGUGGGCAGACACACACACAGAAAGAUGCAGACAUGGAUAAAGUGAACAUUAAGACCAAGGAUACAGAUGUGAAGAGAUUGCUUAAAACCUUGAUAGUGCACGCAUCAGACAGACAAACACUGUGUGAAGUGUCAGCCACGCAGAACCCCAGAUGAAGCUCCAGCUAGUCAGGCUCUGUCAAACACAGUACCUACAAUAUUUUCUCCAAUGGUCUCUUUUCUAAAAAAAUAGCAAGGGUUCCCCCAAGUGCUAUAUCCUAUUCAGCAUCUCCAGCUAUGAAAGUUUAUUUAGAGUGUAUACUCUAAAUAAAGUCAAGAAUCCAGUCUCUUUUUGCAGGCACUAGACUUAUUCUCCAGUUGCAAAGGAAUUGUUUGCAGCAGAUUUUGGUUUGCCUUACCAAGGUGUCAGGAACCUGUGGGAUCACCUGAGCUGUCUCUGCAAUUGUCUCUGCAACACCUCCCACUGCAGCACCUUAUUAAAAAAAUCUUAUAGCAAAAUCCUUCAUCUGCAUUUUCUCAGGCUUUAUUUUUAUUUCUCAUUAGGAAUUCACUAAGGAAUAUGGAAGAAACAAAUACUUGGAGAAGGAACCAGAACACAUCUACCCCUUCCUGAAAUGAAGGAAACUUUUACAAGGUUCAGGAGGAUUUAAAAAUUAUGACAUUUUUUAUUUUCUAGUUAAAAUAAACUUUAAUUUAAACAACAGUGGAAUAGAUCUUAUGUAGCUGGAAGUAUUUAUUUAUUCACAUGAAGCUCUUUAAUAUAGGUAAAAAUCAGGUACAUUGAAAAUAUAGUUUCUACACAUUUUAUAUUAACUGUGAGCACUGCAGUUGUUCAUAUAGAAAUUUUAAAAAGUAUAAAUCAUGGUUCUUUAGUUAGUCCUAGCGAGGCAGCAGCCAUAUUUUUUUUUUUUAUUUUGCCUUGUUCUGCUGCUUUAUGGAGCAUGUCAACAUUUUCCCAACAUUCCUUGUCAUUAGCAGGCUAAAACACCUUCUAUUUCCUGGAGAUUAGACACCAGAGAGAAGAGGUUUUGCUGUAUCCCCUCUGUCUGCUGAGACAGCUGUAAUGGCUCCGUGCACCUGUGGCACAAUAGCCACCAGCAGCCAGCUAGAAUUGUUUAUUGUUAAUGAGGCAUAUAAUUGCUGCAGUUAAUCCAGCUUCUGAGGUUACUAGGUAAAGGGAGGAAAACUGCAGUGAAACUGGAGAGGGUUACAGAGUGAGCAGAGUAUCUCCAGCAUUUAAUUUAGCUCUAACAAGGCAGUUAGUGCUAGAUCUCUACUGAUUGUUUAAGAGCACUUACUGAUGUUAAUAACCAUAAUAAUCAACUAUAACUGGCAUAAAUUAAUUCAGCAUUACAAUACAGAAGUAAUAAAAUGG